AUUGAACGCUGGCGGCAUGCCUAACACAUGCAAGUCGAGCGAGCGGCGGACGGGUUAGUAAUGUAUGGGGACUGCCCGAUAGAGGGGGCUAACUACUGGAAACGGUGGCUAAUACCGCAUACUAUCGGAUAACCCAUAUGGGAUUAGCUAUUAGGUGGGGUAAAGGCUCACCUAGGCGACGAUCUCUAGCUGGUCUGAGAGGAUGAUCAGCCACAUUGGGACGGAGACACGGCCCAGACGCCUACGGAGGCAGCAGUGGGGAAUAUUGCACAAUGGGCGCAAGCCUGAUGAAGCAAUGCCGCGUGUAUGAAGAAGGCCUUAGGGUUGUAAAGUACUUUCAGAGGGGAGGCGUUACCCUCAGAAGAAGCACCGGCUAACUCCGUGCCAGCCGCCGCGGUAAUAC
rnacentral:rRNA from 1 species